rnacentral:rRNA from 1 species
GACAGAGGGCUCAAACGUUGUUCGGAAUUACUGGGCAUAAAGCGCACGUAGGCGGCUCACUAAGUCGGUUGUGAAAGCCCCCGGCUCAACUGGGGAGGGUCAUUCGAUACUGAUCGACUCGAAGGCAGGAGAGGGUAGUGGAAUUCCCGGUGUAGUGGUGAAAUGCGUAGAUAUCGGGAGGAACACCAGUGGCGAAGGCGACUACCUGGCCUGUUCUUGACGCUGAGGCGCGAAAGCUAGGGGAGCAAACGGG